GGGGAAUAUUGCACAAUGGGCGAAAGCCUGAUGCAGCGACGCCGCGUGAGGGAUGGAGGCCUUCGGGUUGUAAACCUCUUUCGCUCAUGGUCAAGCCGCAACGCAUGGUUGUGGUGAGGGUAGUGGGUAAAGAAGCGCCGGCUAACUACGUGCCAGCAGCCGCGGUAAUACGUAGGGCGCGAGCGUUGUCCGGAAUUAUUGGGCGCAAAGGGCUUGUAGGCGGUUGGUCGCGUCUGUCGUGAAAUCCUCUGGCUUAACUGGGGGCGUGCGGUGGGUACGGGCUGACUUGAGUGCGGUAGGGGAGACUGGAACUCCUGGCGUAGCGGUGGAAUGCGCAGAUAUCAGGAAGAACACCGGUGGCGAAGGCGGGUCUCUGGGCCGUUACUGACGCUGAGGAGCGAAAGCGUGGGGAGCGAACAGGAUUAGAUACCCUGGUAGUCCACGCUGUAAACGUUGGGCACUAGGUGUGGGGGCCACCCGUGGUUUCUGCGCCGUAGCUAACGCUUUAAGUGCCCCGCCUGGGGAGUACGGCCGCAAGGCUA
rnacentral:rRNA from 1 species